rnacentral:rRNA from 1 species
AACUUUCAACAACGGAUCUCUUGGCUCUGGCAUCGAUGAAGAACGCAGCGAAAUGCGAUAAGUAAUGUGAAUUGCAGAAUUCAGUGAAUCAUCGAAUCUUUGAACGCACAUUGCGCCCCUUGGUAUUCCGAGGGGCAUGCCUAUUCGAGCGUCA